UGCCUAUAAACUAUAUACAACUUUCAGCAACGGAUCUCUUGGCUCUCGCAUCGAUGAAGAACGCAGCGAAAUGCGAUAAGUAAUGUGAAUUGCAGAAUUCAGUGAAUCAUCGAAUCUUUGAACGCACCUUGCGCUCCUUGGUAUUCCGAGGAGCAUGCCUGUUUGAGUGUCAUUAAAUUCUCAA
rnacentral:rRNA from 5 species